rnacentral:rRNA from 1 species
CCUACGGGCGGCAGCAGUGAGGAAUAUUGGUCAAUGGACGAGAGUCUGAACCAGCCAAGUAGCGUGAAGGAUGACUGCCCUAUGGGUUGUAAACUUCUUUUAUAUGGGAAUAAAACGUUCCACGUGUGGGAUUUUGUAUGUACCAUAUGAAUAAGGAUCGGCUAACUCCGUGCCAGCAGCCGCGGUAAUACGGAGGAACCGAGCGUUAUCCGGAUUUAUUGGGUUUAAAGGGAGCGUAGGUGGAUUGUUAAGUCAGUUGUGAAAGUUUGCGGCUCAACCGUAAAACUGCAGUUGAAACUGGCAGUCUUGAGUACAGUAGAGGUGGGCGGAAUUCGUGGUGUAGCGGUGAAAUGCUUAGAUAUCACGAAGAACUCCGAUUGCGAAGGCAGUUCACUGGACUGCAACUGACACUGAGGCUCGAAAGUGUGGGUAUCAAACAGGAUUAGAUACCCGAGUAGUC